GUGGGUAUAGCUCAGUGUUGGAGCACAUGCUUAGCAUGCACGAGAUCCUGAGUUCAUUCCCCAGUACCUCCA
rnacentral:tRNA from 1 species